rnacentral:rRNA from 1 species
UUGAAAGGGAAACGAUUGAAGUCAGUCGUACCAGCGGGAAUCAACCUUUCGAGUGGGGGUUUUGGAGUUUUGAAGAGUUUCAAAACCUUUGAGAUUUCAAAAAUUUCGCUCUUUUGGUGUACUUUCUCGUGGGUAGGUUAACAUCGAUUUUGAUCAUCAUAAAAAGAUUGGAGGAAUGUAGCUUCGAUCUUGUAUUGAAGUGUUAUAGCCUUUGGUAAAUGUGAUGAUUAGGAUCGAGGAUUGCAACGAAUACCCUUUUGGGCUAUCCGCCUGAUCUCUGAUACGUGGCCUUGGUAUCGAAAGCUUGCUUAUGGUAUUAAGGUAUUACGGUCAAAAGGUUAGAACGGAUUACAUUCGUUAAGGAUGUUGACGUA